UACGAAGGGGGCUAGCGUUGCUCGGAAUCACUGGGCGUAAAGGGCGCGUAGGUGGCCAACUAAGUCAGACGUGAAAUCCCUCGGCUUAACCGGGGAACUGCGUCUGAUACUGGAUGGCUUGAGUUUGGGAGAGGGACGCGGAAUUCCAGGUGUAGCGGUGAAAUGCGUAGAUAUCUGGAGGAACACCGGUGGCGAAGGCGGCGUCCUGGACCAAUACUGACACUGAAACGCGAAAGCCAGGGGAGCAAACGGG
rnacentral:rRNA from 1 species